rnacentral:rRNA from 1 species
UACGUAGGGGGCAAGCGUUGUCCGGAAUCAUUGGGCGUAAAGAGCGCGUAGGCGGCCCAGUAAGUCCGCUCUGAAAGCCCGGGGCUCAACCCCGGGAGGCGGGUGGAUACUGCUGAGCUCGAGUCCGGAAGAGGAGUGUGGAAUUCCUGGUGUAGCGGUGAAAUGCGCAGAUAUCAGGAGGAACACCAAUGGCGAAGGCAGCACUCUGGGACGGUACUGACGCUGAGACGCGAAAGCGUGGGGAGCAAACAGG